AGACGUCUACAUUAGACACCCGGGUAGUCCCAGCCGUAAACUAUGCUCGCUAGGUGUCAGGCAUGGCGCGACCGUGUCUGGUGCCGCAGGGAAGCCGUGAAGCGAGCCACCUGGGAAGUACGGCCGCAAGGCUGAAACUUAAAGGAAUUGGCGGGGGAGCACAACAACGGGUGGAGCCUGCGGUUUAAUUGGACUCAACGCCGGACAACUCACCGGGGACGACAGCAAUAUGUAGGCCAGGCUGAAGACCUUGCCUGAAUCGCUG
rnacentral:rRNA from 1 species